rnacentral:rRNA from 1 species
AGGGAUCAUUACUGAGUGAGGGCUCACGCCCGACCUCCAACCCUUUGUGAACACAAUCCUGUUGCUUCGGGGGCGACCCUGCCGGCACUACGUCGCCGGGCGCCCCCGAAGGUCUCCAAACACUGCAUCUUUGCGUCGGAGUUUAAACAAAUUAAACAAAACUUUCAACAACGGAUCUCUUGGUUCUGGCAUCGAUGAAGAACGCAGCGAAAUGCGAUAAGUAAUGUGAAUUGCAGAAUUCAGUGAAUCAUCGAAUCUUUGAACGCACAUUGCGCCCUUUGGUAUUCCGAAGGGCAUGCCUGUUCGAGCGUCAUUUCACCACUCAAGCCUGGCUUGGUAUUGGGCGUCGCGGCUCCGCGCGCCUUAAAGUCUCCGGCUGAGCCAUUCGUCUCUAAGCGUUGUGGAUUUUCUAAUUCGCUUCGGAGUGCGGGUGGCCGCGGCCGUCAAAUCUUUACUCAAGGUUGACCUCGGAUCAGGUAGGGAUACCCGCUGAACUUAA